CCCUCUCCAGUGCCAGCUACUGGGGCUGCGAGUUCCGGCUGUGUUCCCACAGAACCAUGACGGCUCCUCCAGUGCGUAGCUGCAGCUGCUGCUCACCUCCUGUGGCCCUGCUGACACUCAGGUGUCAGUGAUGCUCUACGAUGGCUCUGUCACCCAGAACAUCACCCUGAGGCCAAAUGUCACUGUGCCCUUGCCCCUCUCUGCUAACCUGGAACUCACUGGAAGCUGCACUUCCCAUAAAACCUUGGUGGUCCAGACGAGCACUGAUAUCUCAAUGAUGUCUGUCAGCACCAUGGGCUACACUGUGGGUGCCACUGCCCUCCUACCUGUGGAGAGCCUGGGCAACAGGUGAACAGCCACCGCUCACACCUCCCCAUCUCCUCCCAUGGGAAGCUCCACAUGCACCAGAAGGGUAAAUCCAUGCUGAUCCAGUCAAAUUUCAAGCUGAAAGUCCUCUACAAGUGGGAUGAUCAUGUAGUAAUCAAACUUCCAGCUGCUCUUUCUGGAAAAGUCUGCGGAAUGUGCAGGAACAACAGGGACCUCUGGGAUCAUGCACUCUGUCUUGAUGGUAAACAGCUCUCACUUGCCUGCCCAACAGCACCCACAGCCUGCCUCCCUACCUGCAACAUCCCCACUGUGUCAUCCCGCUGUUCCACUGUCAACACCUGCGUGGACACCUGUGUGGCCUUGAUGCCAACACCUGCGCUGCCCCCUCUGAAUGUGGCUGUGUCCUUCAAGGUCUCUUCUAUGGCCUUGGCGAGGAAUUUUGGAGUGACCUCACUUGCACCCAGCACUCUGCGUGUGAUGCGGAGCGGCGGCAGGCAGUGUGCCAGGAUUCUGGUUGUACCACUAAGGAGGAAUGCGAGGUGGAGUAGGGGAUCUAGGAUUGUUAUCCCAAAAUUUCUGCGGUCUGCACCACUGUUGGAGCCACUCACUAUGAGACCUUUAAUCAAAGGAGGUGUAUCUUCCAGGGGAUGUGUGUCUUACCUGCUGGUUGGGUUGUGUGAGGACACCCAAAAUUUGGUGGGAUUCCAGGUGUUGGUGCAGAAUGGCCACCAAAGUGACAACCUCACAUUGUCCAUUGCCGUGGUGACAGUUAAAAGUCUACAACAAAACCAUCAGCAUCAGCAGGAACAUCGUGGAAAAAUCAUGACUAAUGAGAGUUGUUUGCGGCGGUUUGGCAGAAGCUGCUGA
rnacentral:lncRNA from 1 species